rnacentral:rRNA from 1 species
AACGAACGCUGGCGGCAUGCCUAACACAUGCAAGUCGAACGAGACCUUCGGGUCUAGUGGCGCACGGGUGCGUAACGCGUGGGAACCUGCCCUUAGGUUCGGAAUAACUCCCCGAAAGGGGUGCUAAUACCGGAUAAUGUCUUCGGACCAAAGAUUUAUCGCCUUUGGAUGGGCCCGCGUUGGAUUAGCUAGUUGGUAGGGUAAAAGCCUACCAAGGCGACGAUCCAUAGCUGGUCUGAGAGGAUGAUCAGCCACACUGGGACUGAGACACGGCCCAGACUCCUACGGGAGGGAGCAUUGGGGAAAUUUGGAAAUGGGGGGAAAGCUUGUGCCAGAAAGGCCGGUGGGGGAAGAAAGGCUUUGGGGUUGUAAAGCUUUUUUCCCCGGAAUAAUAAGGACAGUCCCGGGGAAAAAAGCCCCGGCAAAUUCCGG